AUACGGAGGGGGUUAGCGUUGUUCGGAAUUACUGGGCGUCAAGCGCACGUAGGCGGACUGAUCAGUUAGAGGUGAAAUCCCAGGGCUCAACCCUGGAACUGCCUUUAAUACUGUCAGUCUAGAGAUCGAGAGAGGUGAGUGGAAUUCCAAGUGUAGAGGUGAAAUUCGUAGAUAUUUGGAGGAACACCAGUGGCGAAGGCGGCUCACUGGCUCGAUACUGACGCUGAGGUGCGAAAGCGUGGGGAGCAAACAGGAUUAGAUACCCUAGUAGUCC
rnacentral:rRNA from 1 species